GCAAGAGAACUUAUGGAAGUGAGAGGAGGCAAAGAUGAAUUACAUUUGUAAUAUAUGUAUUAAAUUAAUGACUGGACUUGCAGAGAACUGCACUUACAGAACGAAGCCUACAGAGAGAUGCUUAUAUCCUCAGUAUUUUACAAUAAUUUAGCAAGAUCAGAGUAGGAUAUGAUUAUGACAUUUCCGAUGUCUGACUUGGGGAAAAGGUAAGGGUGGUUCCUCCGUUUUUGCUUGUACAUUGUUAGAUUGUUAUUUAUGCUUCUAACUUUCCAUACAGCAGAAACUUAUCUGCUAGUGUUUUGAAAUAUACAUUAAAGACUUGUAAUCAAAGAAAGCUAUUAAUUAUUAACUUUUCAUCUUUCCUAGCAGAUUCUUCUUUUUCUAAGUUUGAAAUGGCUAUUCUUUCUGAUAGGACCCCUCAAAGCUCUUGUGAACUAAGGCAAUGAAACCAGUUUGUGUCUUCAGUGAAGUUGGCUUCAGUCCACUUGAAGUUAUUGUGCCUCCAUGAUAACAAGAUCUGCAGUCUGUCAUUGACUGCAGUGAAGCCAAUGCCAAAAGUUGUUCAUCUUUUUGACAGAGCUCUCAGCAAUCAAAUUCACACCUGUGCAGCACAAGCUGGGAUUGUCAGCAGCUGUCUGAAAUCUGGCAUUACUUUUUGCCCAUUGGCCACACCUGCUAGCUUUGAUGAAGGUUUCACUGUAAAAAUUGCUUGUAGCAAAUAUUUCUUCACUUGCUUGUUUCUGUUCCAGAAAUGGAUGCUGGAUUUCCAGUGUAAGCCUAUUACAUCUUUCACCCAUACACUAUCAUCAAGAUUUAAUCCUAAAACCUUCAGAUUCCAGUCCAGAUUACUUCUAUUUUUAUUACAGGAAGAAGUCCAUUUUUGGUAUAUGUGGGCCCGCUAUUGAAAAAGAAUACAACAUGUUCAUCAUCGUUUCAUGAACACAAAAAACAUAAUCAUGGCUUUCUUUAUGUUCCUGAAGUAUAGGCACAUUGCAGUAACUGCUGGACAAAGUGCAGAAGAAGCAGCUGAGAAUGCAUGGAGAGUUAGGCUAGUGCAUCAGCCUUUCAAUCACCUUUGUUUUGUUGAGGUGUUGUGGAAGACAUGCUGAAAAAAUAUCAGGGCUGCUGUUAACUGUCUGAAUUUAAAGAAGCACCUAAAUAUGGAGAAGUUCCCAACCAGUCAGAAUCUGGUUGUGUGCUUACUGGUCCCACCUAGGACCGGUCGUGCUCUCAUUUAUCAUUUCUGGCAAAAAUCUCCUCAUUGACACCUGAGGUGCAGCACUGCUCUCCUUGCCUCUUCUGCCAUUCUGUCUUACAGCUGCCUCACUGUGGGCAGAACUGGCACUCAGACUGGGAAUUUGGGCUUGUUCCUGGUCAGCCAUCCAGCACACACAGGGAAUAAGGCUGAGGAAACAACUGAGACUUACCUGCAGGGACAGCAGUGCAUGCAAACAGCCUGUCUUCAUCACUUCUGAGCUUUGAGUAUCUGUCUUCCCUGCUUUAAUAUUAAUUCUGUUGGUAUUUCUGUGGUUGGCUGUUUUUAUUGGUGGAUUUUAAGGAGAGAAAUUGCUUUCUUUGUUCCACCCUGCCCUAGGAGAGAGCAGCCAUCAGCAACAGCACCUACACCAAGCAUGGAGCCGGGGGCAGUGCAGAGACCACGCAGCUGAUGUUUAUGGAACUGCGUGUUUUUAAAGCGCUCAGUGUUUUAGAUACUAUAUUGCACCUCAGCCCCUCUUUUACUGUCCCAGCUUCCUAUGGAGAUUUGUGUCACACUCAGCAGACAAGUUCUUUACACCCAGUUGGGAUAUUCCAUGCAAUCUGCUUCCCUUUAGAAUAUGAAAGAAGCAUGUCUGUUUAAAGGCACCCCUCACUCUAUCUGCACGCACUGAAAUUGCAGUUUAUCCUUCUGCCCUGGCUGAACCCUGAGAGAUUGCACCUGAAUGUCAAUUCCUUCUCUACCUGCUGAUUUUCAAGACAUGUCCACCUACUGCAAUGCUAAAGCUGUUAUGAAAAAAAGGAGCAGAAAAAGCUGAAAAGAACAUACACCUAUUUUAUAAAAUAAAGAACUGAAAACAACAAAAAAUAAUGUUAAAAUUUCUAAUUUGCCAACUAAAGAUGCUGAUGGUAGCUAUAGGAGACGCAGGGGGCAGCAAUAAGAAUUUUGCCUGUCACAGUGCUAACAGAAAAGGCGGUUUUACAUGACUGUAGGCUUCUGAGUUACAGCUUGAAAUCAGUGUUCAUUUGACAGUAAAAAUAAAUAAAUCAGAUGAGAAUUUAGGAAGGGUAAUCCUUUGCACAGCUCUGCCAUAUCAGCCUCUUUUAAACACAGAAACGAUGCCACGUGUGCCCCGUGAGGUGCAGGACUCCACCUCCAGCCGUGGCGGCUGAGAUGCUGCCCGGAGGGAGUCUGCAGACACUGCAGCUGUGGGCAGCAGGCUGCCCUGCAGGGGGCACAGCCAGAGGGUUCUGGAUACUGGAAAGUAUAUCUUUGGUGAUUCCUUGUACUUGCCAAGUCCCCGACACUUGUGCUCUCCUGGCUAGCCAUCUGUUCUACAUUCUGAGAUUAUGAUUAUGUGUUAUUUCACUAACUUGUAACUUUUUCUGCCUUUUCUUUGAUUUUUUUAUUAUUAUUUUUUUAUUUUUUAAUGCGGCAUAUAGUCAGGUCCUUUAAGUAUUUCCAUUAAGUGACUGAGAAAUGCUCCAAUAUUACUGGAGUUCCUGGUUCUUCCUUGAACUCUCCUGUGAUGGAUCCAGGUCAUAUAGAAAGCAUAUGACAGAGCUGUAAGUAGGAGCCAAGCCUUUUAACCUCCAGUGGACACACAAGACUGUCUGUUUUCAAAGGCAAUGUGCUGCUUGCUUAGUUACGUGGUACUGGAGGAAAAUACUUUAUUGCAAGCUGUUAAAACCAGGCCAGGCACAACUGUGCUGUGGUCGUGUGUCUGCUUUCACCAUUCUCGGAUAUAAACCUAUGCUCAACUUCACAAGCUGCUAUCCUACUGGAGGUAACUAAACACUUGCUACAGGAAUUCAAUGCAAACUCUUGAUGUACCUUAUGCUGCUUUUCUGCUGCCGACAAAAUAGAGGGGAUUACCACCUGACCUGCUCUUGUUCAAGAGCAUCUGUUGACUAUGAAUCACAAAGGGUCGAACUCUUUAGGAAUCCACCUCACCUCUUGAGAGCAAGUCAUUUCAGCAUCCUUCUGCAAACAGAACUGAUUAUUUCUCAGGCGUGAAUGAAACUGUGGGAGCCCUUUGCUAGAUGGCAAGUGCUAUUUUGAACCAGUCUUUCAUGGUGUUUUGUAAUAAUAUAGCAACCUGAUUCUCUGCAUUUAUUUAUGAAAGUAAAUGGAGGCUAGGAAUCAACUUUGGAAAGCUUUUGGUGCUAAUGCAGCAUUGCUUCUAGAAUGGUUACUUGUGUGAUACUUCUAACAAGAUGAAUCAGCAGAAGCACAAAAGGCAGCAUGCCAAAAUGUUUCCUGUCUUGUUCUAUUGGCUCUUAUGUGCAAAUUUCAUAAUAGCAGUAGAGAAGGCUGAUAUGACAACAGCUUUCAAAUAUGAAGAAGCUGCUGCCAAGGGGAAGGGAAUAAUCUCUUUUCUCUGUUUAAGAAGUAAUGGUUUAAAUAGCAGCUAGGUUAGAUCAGUUGCCCUGAACCUGGAGUUUGUAAACCCCUGGGGAUCUUUCGAAGGCUCUCUGGUCCAUCUGGCUCUAAGUGUUAGCAGACAGGGGCUUUUAACCAGUCCAGAGUAAUCAUUCAUUUUGUGAUAUUUUUAUAUGUAGAUUUUUGUUGUUAUCUCUAUGGACAAAGCUGAAUGUAUGGAGACAAGUUCCCAAGCAACCUAAUCCGAGUAGACUGGCUUUGAGGAGAAGGCUGAACUUGAUGACCUUUGGAGGUCCCUUCCACCCUAAAUUAUCAGUGAUUUUGUAUAACGUGUUUUCUGAGAGCUCAGAGAUGUCAUUUGGUUAUAGGGGAGAGGCCAAUUUUAGGCCUUCUUUGUGCGGUUUCCCCAGCAGUGCUGAGGUUGUGUGGCUCCUGGUGUGAGUCUGUGCAGUCCUACACAAGUUGCACUGACUUCUAAUGACUAUUUAGAUCCCCAUAAGCUGAGACUUAUAGAAUAUUAACUGGGCUAACCUCUUCCUCUGUUCUGUGACAGGGGCACAGUACCACAAGCGUAGCUUGACCUUGUACCUAGGAGUGCAUGUAAAAGAAAUGAAGACUCAAGACAAACAACAAAGACGAGGUGUCUUUAAGUUGAAAGAAUUAUCUGAGCCAAGAAAGGGCAUUUGAGGAGCUGGAAUACUUUCAUACCAGGCACAGAUAUAAUUCCAGCUCCAAAGAAAAGGUUUGAAUGUGAGUGUUGCAGGAAGAUAUUUGCACUGUUUCUAGGAAUUUAUUCUCUGGCAGCUAGGUGAGGAAGAAGAGGAAGUGUUAUUUAUUACAUAGCCAUCUGUAGUCCUUGACUGGAAUUCCACAUCUCCUAUUGCAUCACCAUUCUCUGUACCCACAAGGAAGAGGAAGCUACUGUCAGAACUUGGAGCAGCUGAAGUGUUAAGCAUUUCCUCCCACCUUACUUUGGUUUAUCCUUGAUGUUCCUUUGCUUGGUAUUUCGUGAUCCUGGUAUAGCCCUGGACAUAGAGACCUCUAGGACUUCAGUGGCAAGGUGAAACAAUAGCAUACCAAACUAUGGCAUAAGUUUGAGAAGAUUUUUUCAGGGACUGAAGCCACUGAUUAACUGAGCUGCUUUUUUUCUGCUGUCUGUCCUUUAUGUGCUUCUCUUUGGUUUAAAAGGGAGGAGGGGACAGUGGGCUUUAACAGCAGCUUCUGAAAUUGGCUUUCUUCUUUCUAGCAAGUACAGGUGAUACGUCUCCAAUAUCUCCUAAGAGCACAUUGAUCGUUUUCUAUUUGGAAGCUUUUAUAUAAUAACACUCUGUUACUGAAGACAAGCUCAGAUUUGUUUAUUGAGUCACCAUCUGCCAGAAGAGGGUCUCAGAUGUUCUCCAUGAUGACAAGAGUACAGAGCCAGUCCCACUGCACAUGGACCCCCCUGCUACCCAGAACCAGCUGGGAUUCUCUUUCCAAGCAUGACAUCUGAAGCACUGCUCAGUUUCUCAAGGACCCCAGCAAGGCAAAAAUGUCUCACACAAUAGGAAUGCAGAGAAAUGAUGGGUUGGAAUAAAUCAGGAAUUGACUUAGUUGUUCUCGUUUCAACCAGAUACAGAAAAGUUCCUCCAUGGGCAGUUAUUAGCAGCCUAUACACUAACAAAUGUUCUUCCUAGUGUUCUUGUUAAAAUUAAAAUAAAUAAAUAAUUGUUGUUUUAAAAUAGAUAACCUCCCAUGUUUAAAGCAAAAGUUCCAACCUUGUAAUCUUCCCUUCCUAGCUUUUAACUUGUGAUCUUUCACCUCCUUUAUACUGGUACCACUACUGCUCACCAGCUACAUCAGUGAGUUAUCUGGGUAAGAACUGGCAUGGGGUAACGUCAUGUGGGAGAUGGCAGGAAUGCCAAUGCUGGAGGAAGGCGGGAUGUCCCUCUUCCAUUCCUUGGUCAUUAUCCAGACAUAUUGGAUUAAAUCCAUGGUAAAACCUCAGCCUGGCAUUUGAUGAAGGGUGCAGGAUGUUCAGGAUCCACUGCUUUGGGAUGCAGGGACUGCAGGGUGGACUCAAACGGUUCUCAGUGAUCAAAGAUUGCAGUGUUAAAACCAACAGGCGACAUGACAGCCAUACAUCAUAUUAGCAAAAGAGCACUUCCAUGUGCUCUGCUGGGAGGCAAUGGUUCUGUGGGACACAUGCCAGGUGCUUCAAGAGCAUCCUGUAGCCAUAUAUCUGGCAGGGCAGGCAGAAGGAACGUGCUAAGCAGUAGCCUCACUCGCAGACUUCUGAAAUGACAAAUAUUCCUUAAAGGAGUCCAUUAAAAUAAAAUAAUGCCCUUUCAAUGUACAUAGGGAACAUAUAUAACAAAAUAUAUGAAGUACCUGUGUAUUUUCUCUAUUUGAUACCUGAAUCCAUGAGAAUAGGGGAUAAGGUACUUUCAGAACUGUAGAAUGGUAGAUAGUAGACAACAAAAUUGUCUCAAAACACACUGAGAUAUGUUUGUAUUCCAAGUGAUGUGUGCCAGAUAUUGGGCAACAAAGUACGUGUUUUUGUGGAGAUGUGACCCAGCUGGUCUGUUGAGCCUUUGGUAAUGCACUUCAUGCUACUUGAGACUAUAUAGUGCUUCUAACCAUCCUCCCAGGGCAGUUUUCUCCUGCGACUCCACAGCCUUUGGGAGUUGCAUGGCCACAGCAAACAAGUGGAAGUAAGGAGCUUUCAUCCAACAGUGCCUGUUUUUCAAUCAACUCAAAAUCCACCAAAGUGCUUGAGUGGAAGGAGGACAGUCAGGAAAGCAAAAGAGUAUCUGGAGUUGUGAGUGCUGAAGUGUGCCUGGAGGCAGGGGUUAAAGGCAGCUGGAGGAGCAAAGAAACGCAGAGGGAAUAUGGAAUAGAAAAGUGCAUCAAAGCCUGGGUGAGUGAGUUAUGUCCUGAAGUGGUGUGUUUUGAUGGCCCGGUGUUGUUGAGCUAGUUGGAGAUGAGCACAGCACUGUACUCUUCAACAAAAGAGAUGAGAGUGGAUCAGGAGCAGACCUCUGUAUCCUGCUAACAGACUGGUCUAUGGAAGGGAGGCAAGCUCCUUGAUACAUGUAACCCUAAGCCAAGUGUGUUCCAUGGUUUUAGAAUUGUGGGUUAGGAGAACGAUAGAGUAACAGUAGCUAAAAUCACCCAGGUAAAGACAACUCUUCAGGGGUAAAUGAUGGCUGGUAUGGAGAGAUAAAAAAGCUGGACUGCAAGGAGAGAGGAGAACGGAGAACAGAGUUUUCAUUUCCAGCUCAGCUGGUCUUGUUGUAGUUUGAGCGCACGCUUAGGGUUUCUUGCUGUGCUCCAUAACUGGUGAAGCUGGGGGAGAUAGGAAGGGUCCCACCAGCACAGGAUGGUGCUGGAACAGAUGGAGCAGUCUGAUUCUUCCAUCAGGCUGGUGACAGUGCUCUCUGGAAGGUACCGUGCUCGCCUGUCGGGAUCCCUGAAGAUAAUAGGCUCUGUGCUCUCCAGAGAUGGACCGCUGCAAACGAGUCAUCUGGAACUAAUGGGUUUUGUGCCUUUGAUUGGACUGUGCUUUUCUGUAUACCUCCUUUGUCAGCCUAAAGGUCUGCUGAGAUCCAAACCAUGCUGUAAUUAUUUCCACACACAACAGCAAAGGUUGCUCUUUAAGCCGAAAUUUUGUCUGAUGUAUCUUCCCAGGAAAAUAAGCUUGAAUAAUUACUGGUUUUUAACAGUAAAAAGAUGUAACUUGUGUUUCGGAGGAUUAAAAUCUACAACCUUAUCUAAAUACAGAAAGAACAGCUGGCAAAAUGGAGUUUCUUUCUACAACUUAAACAGAAUCUGUCCUCCCCAAGCCUGGUUGGUUCUCAGCCUGCGUACACCUGUGUUAAUUUAAUAUGGUUCUUCAGUGGAAGACGUUUGAGAGCAAGAAGGCACCAGUUCUGUCUCCUCUCUCUGUAUGGAUUCUCCCCUCGUUGUCUCAGCAGACAACACUUUGGCUUGCAGCCUUGGAGGAUGAUAUUUAGUACAGUGACUGUCGGAGGAGUGGGAUUUGUGGUGACUGGGAUUUUUGAAGCAGGUCUAAAUCCUGCUGGCUUGCAAAGAGAGUAAAUUCUAAAGGGUCACAAAUGCUGAUACCACUUGGGAGCUUCCGCCAUCUUACCAGACUUGAAACUGUGAGAACAGUUAUAGGAAUCAGCUUUGAAAUGACCAAAGGUAUCAGCUUGUCCUCCAUUAGAAAUAAUUUCUAGGCCUUGGGCUGCACCCAGAAAAAUAAAAAUAAUCUGAAGAGAUUUUAAUUAUAUCUCCACUAGUAAUAAAGCAGCUUUUUCCUCCAAAUUAAUAUGAUCGAUGUCUGUAUGCUAUUGAGAAAUGAGGGAUGUCCUUCUCAAAUAGUAUAAAGUGCACACUUUUGUCAGUUUCUUCUAAAAAUAAUAAUAAUAAUAAUAAGAAAGGGAUUGCUGUCUUUCUGGGCUAGAAACUAUUUGUUCCUCUUAAAAAGCCUUUAUAAGUGUGAGGUGUCUGCCGUCACUCAGAACAGGGAAGCUGGUGCCUGGAGUAUCUGCACCUUUCAUGUCUGUGAGGGAACGAAAGAGCUUUGUGCAGAGAGGAAUUUCAGUCUGAAUCACAGACUGUAGUUUUGUUGGAAAUGGAAGAGUAGAUGCAGUGAAAAACUGAAGAGGGAAGUGUCUCGAACUCCAAAAUUCCUGCACUUCCUAUUAAUAGAUCUGUGUUUAAAAUAAUGUGAAAAAGUAAAUCUCUCUAAGGCAUUGAAUCAUGUGCAUUCCCACGAGUGCUCAGCAUGUGUCUGUGCUCCACAUCUCUCAUCAGACACUGUCCCUCCCAUGUUGGCUCCAGGCUUGCACUGCAGCAGGAACCUCAGUGGCUUUGGGGAUUGAUAGCUGACCUGGUGGUUCAUGAAACAUUUGUGUUCUCCAUACUUUAUUAGUCACUGACAGACUCAUUGUUUAUAACAUACUUCUCAGCAAGCUGUUUGCGACUCAUCGCCCUGCUUGCUUUAUAGUCUAUAAAUAUUUAAUUCUUUAAUAAACAGCUUAUAUGUAAUAUCAAAUGACUGAUGCACUUCUUUCCACUCUUCAGCAGUGCUACUAUUUGCAAAACAAUCUAUUUUUUUUCUUUCUUUUUGAAUAUCAAUAUGUUUCAUAAAUUCUUGAAUUUCCUUUUCUAAACAGCCAUUUCUUCAGGGUGCUUGGUACAAUGACAAGCAGAGCAAUGGUUCCUGUGGCAUUAUAAUAGCUGCCCCUUUCUAAAGUCUCCAUGGGGAGAUUCACUUCACAGUGGUCACAGAUUUGCAAUCAGGAGUAGUUUGAAACAGCAGCAGUCAUAUUUCACAGCUGUGCAUGUUAAAGAGCAGCAGCAGCCUGCACGGCCAGAACAGCCCUGCAGAAGCUGUGUGAGAGCAUCCCUGGUAGUAUGCAGAGCAGUGUGGGCAUCUCAGAGUAUCACUGCCUCUUGCUGCGAGCUGCAUCACCACUCCUCUGCUUCACACACAUUGCUUAUAUGGUACAACCUGUGCUUCUUUUCCCAUCUGUAAUCUUCUUCCUGCUACCUAUAGAAAGAGUCGCUGAUGGGAUCCACUGCGCUGGGGUCAGAAAGCCAUUGGUAUGGGUGGGUGAGGCGGAGGUGAUCUGCUUGGGUCACUGCGGCUCAUGGCAGCAGCUCAGUGCCUUGCAGCAGACAGGCUCUAGGGUACUCUCUGAGGUCUGGCUGGCUGCCAUACCAGUUGCAUUUUGUCUGGAUGGUAACGUGUCUCAGUAGGGCCUUCAAGAGUGUUGUGUGGUCAUGGACGGGAUAUUCAUAUCUAACCCUAAGUCAGGCUGAUGGUCAGACUUCCCUUGUGCCUUGAAUUUUUGCACUUUUUCAACUUUGAGCAGAGAGAGGCUGGAUUUAGGAUUCCUGCCUAGAGGUGGUAUUGGUGUCCUGUUUUUGUUCGGAGCUGGCAGACUUGCCUUGUGCUCAGAUUCCCAGGUGGCUUUACAGAAGGGUGUGUGCGUGUGCAUUACAAAUGCAUCUGUGGAGAUGCAGGAAGGAACUUGAUUCGGAGAACUAAUAGAUGAGAUCAUAGUUAUGAAUCUUCAGGCAUUGGGCAGCAGUCCCUCUUUGCUAUGGGCCACUGCAUCCUCUGCCCAUUAGUCCUUAGAUGAGAGCCUUAUCCUUCUGUUCAAGGUUCUUGGUGCUCUUUUAGUGAUAGAGCCUGCUUGAAGACCUGGUAGCUGUUUGCUCAGGACUCCACAGCCUGCUUUGAACAGAUGCUCAUACCAUAUCCUUGUCAGACACUAUUAAAAGGCAGAGAAACAACCCCGGUCUGGCAGCUGGGGAUCUGCUCAGUAGUGUUUCUAGUUAUUGGCAGCAUCUGCAUGUGCCCACAGGAUGGAAGGAGAGGACAGCUCCUCUGAGAACAGGUCCCACCUGCAAGUCUUUAUUUUCCAUCCUGCCUGUUCUCUUCUUGUGUUUAAAGCCAUGGUCCUUCUCUGGAGAUAAGGCUGGCAGCAGUAUGAGCCUUUCUUACACCAUGGGCGUUGUAGAGGCUGAUUCAGGAUCUGUGCACAGCGGGCACACAAGCAGGUUUUUCUAAUGUCCUUCGCUAAUGUCACUACGCUGCAAUGAGGGCGUUGCUGUUCUGUGAUGGCCCAUUAAAUCUUUGUUAACCCUAAGUACAUACAAGACCCUGAUCCAAAAAAGCAUUCCUAGCAGAGCACAGAGCAGCCAAGAGGUUCUUCUCCAUACACACACAUUUGUGUGUUAAAAAUAUCAAGUGAUAACAAUUCCCGUUCUGAGGAAGAAGCAGGUGAGAGAGGAUCACAGAAUCACAGAAUGGCUUAGACUGGAAGGGACCUUAAAGAUCACGUAGUCCCAAUGCACCUGCUGUGGGCAGAUCAGGCUGCCCAGGGCCCCAUCCCUGGCCUUGGGCUUCUCCAAGGAUGGGGCAUUCACAGCCCUCCGGGCAGCCUGUGCCAGGGCUUCACCACCUCUGGGUAGAAAUUUUUUUCCCAACAGCUGAUCUAACUCUCCACUCUUUUAGUUUAAAGCCAUUCACCAUUGUCCUACCACUCUCCUGUUGAUAAGCUCCCCUCAAGUACUAGGAGGUUGCAAUGAGGUCUCCCCAGUCUUCUUUUCUCCAGCCUGAAGAAGCAUUGUUCCCACAGCCUAUCUUCAUAGGAGACAUUCUCCAUCCUCUGAUAAUCUUUGUGGCCCUCCUCUGAAGCUGCUCCAACAGUUCCACAUCCUUCUUGUGCUGGGAGCCCCAGGCCUGUAUACAGUGCUCCAGAUGGGGUCCCACAAGAGCAGAGCGGAGGGGACAAUCCCCUCCCUGCCCCACUGCCAUUCCUCUGCUGAUACAGCCCAGGAACCAGGAAUCACUAUCUGCCAGGUCUGUCCCACCUUCAGUAUCCUGGUGGCACAUGUGGCUGGGAGCAGCCCACUCCCAGACUGUCAUCCCUGUGCUGGAGGCACAGAGCAGUGGGCAGGGCAUGGGCACUGCAUCACUUGUACUGUCCCUGAAGCAAUGCACAGAAGCCUGCCUUGAGCCAGCAACAGCAUCUAAACACUAACACGCACUGCCGUGUUGUCACUUUACCCACAAGGCUGUCAUUGAGCUCCUCCUUUGUUACUGAAGCAUGGCACUUAACACAUUCUCCCUCCAGUUCCUCUUCCUGUCCCCCUCCCACCGUGUAUAUCACUGAAAUUUCUGAAUGGAAGCAGGGAAUGGUGUAGGCACUGAGCUCCUGGUCCUCAAAGAGUCUCCAGGCAGUGAGCAUGACUGGUGCCCCAGCUUAAGUAUGAGUAAUGAUAAAUAAGUAAAUCACGCAGUGGGCUGUGCUAUUCCCUAAUGAGCCUGUUUGUCCCAAGCGCUGUGCAGAAAACACUCUUCUCCUUGGCAAUAACCUUUCUGCAUAUUAACAUUAUGCAUGUAUUCAUGUGACUUCCUCUGCUUCACCACCACCUCCUUCAACUGAUUUAAAUAAAAAUAAUUUAUGUGGACAUUCCUUCAGUCAGGAUUCCCCCCCCCCCCCCCCCCCCCCAAUAAUAUAUCGUUGAUGCUGUGCACCCAAAUGGGGUCGUUAUGCCUUUGCAUAUCAUUAUAAAGAAUUAUAAAGAACAACAGCGACAUCUGCAUGUGCUGCAGCGCUACAGAGAUGGGCAAAAAUAGAGAAAACAAACCCCAAAUGAGCUCUGAGCUUGUCUGGCUCUGUCUUUCCUCAGUGCCUUUGCCACUACCAUGGACGAAAGUAAUUGUACAGUGUAAUCACAUCACAGCUCAUCUGAAUAUUCAUAGCCGAGACAAAGACUUGGAGAAGAAACGUGGGGGAGGGAGAAGGAGGAAAAUUUAAAUAUAAAACAGCAUUUCAUUUUGAAGCAAAGUUCUGCAUUCAGCUCAAGAGAUCGUCUCGAUAUUGAUAUUGUCUAUCUUUCUGCCAUUCAAGACCAGCGGGCAGCAUAGCAUCGCGCGGGCAGCCCCCUCCAUUGGGAAAGAAAAUAAAGCAAAACAACAAACAGCGGUAGAAAUGCCCCCAGCAAAAAUGAUAUUUGAAGAGUCGCCAACAGUGGCUAACCAGCUGCUGUUUUACCACAGAAGAAACAGUCUAUUGAGGGAGCUUUAUAAAGACCCCAAUUAAUAUGUUGUGCAUGUAUAAGACCUACAAAGAGCCCACUGUGUUCCUCCCCCCGCAACCACCACCACCUCAUUCCUAUCGGUGCCGGUGGAGAAGGAUCUGAACUACCAAAUAAUUGAUUAAUCUCUUCGGCAGUGACAACACCCCUCUCCAGAAUAAAGAGAGAAGAAAAACAAACACAAGAGGCAAUUGCUUGCUAAUUAAUGCAUAAAUUACCGCUGGUUCCAUCCUCCUUUUUAUCUUCAAAAAAAAAAAAAAAAAAAAACAGAAAAGCAAGAGAAAGAGAAAUAUAAUCCCCAUCUUAAUGUAUAUGUUGUCUUCAUUUCUUUUGUUUUACUCUGGUAUCCUUUACUAAUAUUAACCAAGAAAUGUGGUGUUUGUUGAAGCCGCAGCUGGCUCUGCCAGUCUGUUCCCCAAAGAGCUCCUAUUUCCAUUCCACUGGAGCUUAUAUUCCUUUAAAUGUCUAGCGCAGCAUCGUUUACCCCUUUCUAAUACAUCACUCUGCUGAAAUUAGAAGAAUCCAAGGUUAUAUCCAACUUCAAAGGUUUCCAAGUCACCAUGAUUUUAGGAAAAGUAGAAGACAGACCAUGGAACAAGUCCCUGCUUUUGAAGAUAGGCAUCACAGGGACCUUCCUCCCUCUGCCUCUUUCUCGCUCUCCCUCUCUCUCCCCCCAACUUUGUACCUCUCCAGCUCUGAACGUCCUGUGCUAAUGCAGUUUAAUGAUAUGCAAAUGAAAUAUGCAUAAAACCAUUCUACUGUAUGAUGAUUAAACACUGGAGACAUUAACAGCCGACACUCCGCUGUUUGACUAUAAUAAUCUUUCCCGAAUAUCCACUUUGAUUGCGGAGUUAUGGAAACCCAUAGCAGUUGGCAGAGAGAGAGGGAAGGGAAGGAAGGAGAGAUGCGGGGACACAUCACCCAUCUCUGCAUUUAUCCCACUCCAGGAGACGUUUCCCCCCCUUUGUACUGCGUUCCUACUGCUGUCUUUUGUAAUCCAUCCAUGCGGUCGCACCAGGGCGAUUAACGGGAAAAAAACCCUCUUUUCUCUUAAUGUUUCAAAGCUCAUUAGCCAAACGAUUAUUCCUCAUUAACAGCGAAAGCUCAUUCAUUAACAGAAAAAAUAUGCCCAAAAGAUGCCAGCGCUGUUAAUCCCGAGCCCUGUAGCUGGGCUGUAAAUCCCAUGCUAGUAUUUUCCACGCAGAGGGGAAUCGCGCCAAUCCACAAAAAAAAAAAAAAAAAAAAAAAAAAAAAAAAAAAGGAACAGCAAGAAGAAAACAUUUUGUGUGUUUUGUAAAAUCCGCAAGAGAGGCAAUUAAUAUUCCCGCUGUGUGACUUUAUUUUUUGUCUCUCCCUUUUGUUUCCAGUGCCCUUCCCUGGCUCAGCGCCCGGUGCCAACAGAACACCUUGCAGGAUCCUCAGCAGCGCAGACAACACAACGUAAGUAGCCAGCUGUCCCUUGACGCCCUCUUCCAAAAGCCCUCCGGCCCCUGCAGAGUGUGUGCGGCUCUUUCCCUCGCUCACCCUCCGGAGUGCCACCUGGGUUUCACAAGUAGCACCUUCCAAAUCUCUCUGUCUUCAAGUUUGUGCAUGUCUGUGUGGCAUCCCUCCUCCUCCUUCACUCCUAUAGUGGAUCUUGCAAAGGGCUUCAGAUCGGCCCCAUUCAUCUCCCUGGUGAUAGCAGUGAAUGUAGAUAAAUCUCUGACUGCCUGCUUGCUGCUGGAGUAUGAUUUUUAUUUUGUCUUCCGUGUAUACCUAGGUCAAAAAGUGGGAUGUAUGCUCACACUGUGUGGAUGCGUGUGCGUGUGUGAAUUUGUCUCUCCCAAGCACACAAACGUACAUCUCCUCACACGUGUAUGUACGCAUAUUACAUGCGUGCACACAGAUAUAUAUCCCCGCACAUGUAUGUGUGCACACAGUACACACACAUCUCCGCACACACGCACACACACUCAUACUUCUAAUCUGCAAUUAUCUGAGGCAUUGUGUGCAUGUGUGUAUGUGUGUCCACACGCACACUGCUCUGUGUGUAUGUGCAUACACAGGCAUCUCGCUAUCUACAAACAUUCCCUCUCCUCCCAGCAGAGGCUGUGUGCAGCUGUGAUCCUGCCCUAUGAGAGCGGUAUUCCUUCCUUCCCUCGGCGUGCUGUUUGGAGACCUUCGUGCUCCCCUCUCGGGUCCCUCCCGAGCUGCAGGGCUGGCACCUCUCCCUCAGCUUGUCCGAAUGGCGAAUGGCACUGUCCGUCGCCCGCGUUGGUACAGCCUCAGAUGGCACUUCUCUCUGGAUGUCGGCUGCUCCCUUUUGUUUGUUGUUGCCCAAUCUGGGUGUGGUGGGGCUUUUUUUGGAGUUAAUUGUAAAUGAACCUGAAUGGCAAACACAUCAACAGCUUGCGAAAAAAGAGAAAAGAGAAAAAAAAAAGAAAAGAAAGCCCCUCACAAACGCCUUCUGCUGCGACAGAUGCCCAUGUUGCCCCUGGCACGGCGAGCGGGCAUGAGGGGGUUGUUGCCAAGCCUUUUUCUUUUGCCGUUUUUAUUGUCCGCGUUGCCGAUUUCCCUUUAUUUUUGAAGCCUCCAAGAUGCCGGCCUCGGCAUGGAGCGGCGCGGUGUCAUGGCGGAGACGACGGCCUUUGUCUCGCGGGGUGUGAAAGCAUCCGUUGUGCUGGCUCCACUGCGGCAGAAUGACGUUCAAGGGGGAAACGUGCUGGAAGCCGGCGUGCUGUGCCCAUAGCCGAGCGUGUCCAAGGCAGGGCUGGCGGCGGAGAGCCUCGUCUGUAAUCCUGGCACUUGCGCCUCUGCUCGCUGCGCGCCGCUUGCUCCUGGGGGUCUGGAUAAUCUCCCUUAGCGUUACCGCACUGUCUGGCCCGCGCACAGGGCCCCCGUAACAUAUACCCGCUGCCGUUAUCACACGGAACUGUGGCGUUGCCACUGAAUGGAUGGCACUGUGCCAACUCUUCUGCCAUCCGCCCUUGCAGCUUUUUUUUCUUCCCUCCUCCCUCCCUCUCUCCCCUCCUCCUCCUCCUCCCGUCGACUUGACGUUAAUUAACACACGGGUUAAUUGAUUUUAAAAGCUGAAGAAUUACAGUUAACUUUUCCCACAGGGUACAGCCGCCUGGCACGGCGCUGCCGCUCGUGCGGUGCAGGGGGGCAGGGAUGCGCCCACAGCAGAGCUGGGUGGCUGCAGAGGCUCUGUCUUUGGAGCACGGCGGAAGGAAGCUGAUGUGCGCCCGUCUCAUCCUUCCCAAGAUGUCACCAUCAUGUUUUGCGACAAACAGUCCCAAUGCUCCCUCCCCUCUGCGCUCAAUGGCUGCACGGGCUCUGCUGGAGGGGCAGCAGGAGGGCAGCUCGGCCGCGUGGCGGGGCUCCCAUCCGCGCAAGCUGGAGGUGCUGGGGCGGGGAGCCUGGGGAACGCUGCCCUUUUCUGCUUAUCCUGUUUUCCAGGGCAUUUUUUGUUUCCUCGGUUGGCUCCGAUAUGUCACUUGGGGUGAAGAAUCUCAACCAGGGGAAAGUUAGAUGGUCGUAAUUACAGGCGAAAUACACCAUGUGAGGGCUUUGUUUUUUCGCUUUCGCUCUCCCUCGCCCCGGUCUCUGCUGGUGAAUGACGGUGCGGUUGGGAGGAGACGCGGCGGGGCUGGGAACUCAUCGCUUCCACCUUCUUGUGCUUUCAUUUUAUUUCAUUUUGUUUUUUAAAAGCAUGAAGCAAGUGAAGCGACGAGAGGAAUCCAUUAUGCAAAUCAGGUCACAUUUGCAUAAUGUCUCAUGACUGGAAUAUGCAAAUGAGUUGUAUAAUUUAUGAGUGCCAGUGUCUGUCUAAAAGUGUUUCCCAGAAUUUAUAAAAAGUGAGACGUGGGGAGGGCAGCUGGGCUCGCUGCCCUGCCAGGAGGGCUCUGCGCUUUCUUUUCAAAGUCUUCCUUCAGACCAGCAGCUGAAAUGCUCCUUAAUGAGAAGCCAGCCACCCCUUCCACACUGUCCCCCUCGUUUUCUUUUCUAUUUCUCACUCUGCCAAGCCUGGACCUGCUCGCUCUGAACUUCUUCAGGAGGCGAUGGACCUGCACGCUGGACCAGGACUCUAAAGCCAUGCACCUCUGGGCAGUCUGCUCCAUCCCUGCAUCCGUCUGGGCACUCUGGCACUUCCCGGCAGGGAGGCUGUGCCUUUCAGGCGUGCUGGCUCCAUGGGCAUGGUGUGCAAGGAAUGGGUGUAGGUGUUUGCUUCCCACAGCAUGGUGGAACUGCUGCUCAUUCAGAACACACCGCAACCUGUGCCUAGAGACCCACCUUGACCCUACAAAGAGCAGCAAGGUCUGCGCAGGGCUGGCAGUGCCCCUGAAGAGCAACCUUGAGCUUCCUGCCCUGAGCAGACAGGAGCUAUUUCAGCACUGAAAAGGUCUCUGGAACAUGCUGGAAAUGCAGGACAAGAGCCAAGAUCGAUCUAGUUUAUGUUCACUCUGCAUAUUUGGAGAUCUCAGGAGCAUCAGGAGAACACAGAAACAGGUGGAGGAUGUGAAAGGUUACAGACAAAGACAAUGAUGCUGGAAAAAAAAAGAGCACACCAUAAAAAAGAAUUCCCAGAGAAAAAAAGGCCAAGAAGUUUUCUGUCUUCAAAACCUAAACCUUCUGUUCCAAACUGAGAACCUACUGCUGGACACGUUUCUUAGUCUUCCUGAGUAACAAACACCAAGCUGCAAGAACCUAAUGACCUGCAAAAUGAGGCAUCUAAAUUUCUGCACAUCUUUGAGUGAGACAAAUUCUGUAACUGCAUCACCCAGGCUUGAAACAGCCCAUGGAAUCCUUUUGAAAUGCAGUAGGAAGCCCUAGAAGCUAGUGAGCUCUCUAAUAUUCUGUGUUUUGCACUCAAACUUGUUCUCCAGGCAGACACCGUUUACUGUUUGUCAGUCUUCCAAUAGCUCAUGAGGUCUUAAAUGUGCUGAAACUGCUUCAGGCAAUUCUUUACAUACCCUAUACUGGGACUUCUUAGAUCCAGAUACUUCGAAAGCAUCGUCCUGUUUGAGCCUGAAAUCCUGCGUCUCUGUAUUUGGUAGCAACUAUGAUAGCCCUCUGCAUGCUGUUAACCUCAAAAGAUCAACAAGAGCAAAAUGCUAUGAAGGAUGAGUCUCCUUGGCAUUAUAUGUCAAUAAUUGUCCCCUUCCGUUGGGUAGAAAGCCAACGCUUUUCUUACUCUUUCCAGUAAAUGCAUCCAUGCUACUUUUAAUUUCCUUUAUUGGCUGAUGUGAUACACGAUGUGACAUUGUGUAAGAAGUCCUGCUUCAAAGCCCCAACAUGUGGACUGACUGCAUGCUGCCACAGACCCUAUGCCAUUGGGAAGAGGCACAGGUCUUCACAGUGACCAAUCAUCAGUGACAUCUUGGCUAGCCAAGUGUUCCAGGCCUGUCUGGGGGUGCAGAUACCACAGCAACCAGCUCUGCUGCAGAUCUGAGAUAGACAGUGGCUUCCAAAGCAGGACUCUGUUCUUAUGACAGAUACCCAAAGGCAGAUUUUCUUUUAAUUAAGUAUGAAAAUCUAUAAUGCAGUCAGCAUGGUGCCUCUUGGUAUGUUUAUUUUUAUACCCCACUUAUUUGCUUUUGUUCUCAACAUAUGCUUUCAUUACGAGGGAGACUUUUAUACUGACCAUCUGCACACUAUGAAUGAAUUUCAGUUAAAACUGGAGGAGUGGGGAGCAGGACAGAGGUCAGUUGUCUUUUUUAAUAUCUGUGUGCAAAUGGGUGUCAUCCACAGCUGUGGAAUAAACACAAUCUAGACUUUUUCUUCAAAUAACACUGAAAUUGCAAAGUUGAC
ensembl:lncRNA